rnacentral:rRNA from 1 species
AACGAACGCUGGCGGCAGGCCUAACACAUGCAAGUCGAACGCCCCGCAAGGGGAGUGGCAGACGGGUGAGUAACACGUGGGAACCUACCCUUUGGUUCGGAAUAGCCCAGGGAAACUUGGGGUAAUACCGGAUAAGCCCUUCGGGGGAAAGAUUUAUCGCCGAAGGAUGGGCCCGCGUCGGAUUAGCUAGUUGGUGGGGUAACGGCCUACCAAGGCGACGAUCCGUAGCUGGUCUGAGAGGAUGAUCAGCCACACUGGGACUGAGACACGGCCCAGACUCCUACGGGAGGCAGCAGUGGGGAAUCUUGCGCAAUGGGCGAAAGCCUGACGCAGCCAUGCCGCGUGAAUGAUGAAGGUCUUAGGAUUGUAAAAUUCUUUCACCGGGGACGAUAAUGACGGUACCCGGAGAAGAAGCCCCGGCUAACUUCGUGCCAGCCGCCGCCGUAA